AAUCAACGCUGGCGGCGUGCCUCAGACAUGCAAGUCGAACGAUUAAAGCUCUCUUCGGAGAGUGUAUAGAGUGGCGCACGGGUGAGUAACACGUAAGUAAUCUACCUUCGAGUGGGGAAUAACGUCCGGAAACGGACGCUAAUACCGCAUAAUGCAGCGGCAUCGCAAGAUGACAGUUGUUAAAGAUUUAUCGCUUGAAGAGGAGCUUGCGGCAGAUUAGCUAGUUGGUAAGGUAAUGGCUUACCAAGGCUACGAUCUGUAACCGGUCUAAGAGGACGGUCGGUCACACUGACACUGAAGAACGGGUCAGACUCCUACGGGAGGCAGCAGUCGGGAAUUUUGGGCAAUGGGCGAAAGCCUGACCCAGCAACGCCGCGUGAAGGAUGAAGUAUUUCGGUAUGUAAACUUCGAAAGAAUAGGAAGAAUAAAUGACGGUACUAUUUAUAAGGUCCGGCUAACUACGUGCCAGCAGCCGCGGUAACAC
rnacentral:rRNA from 1 species